GACGAACGCUGGCGGCGUGCUUAACACAUGCAAGUCGAACGAGUGGGAACGGGUGAGUAACGCGUGGGUAACCUCCCAUCAGAGGGGAUAACACUUGGAAACAGGUGCUAAACCGAUACUGAUGGAUGGACCCGCGGUGCAUUAGCUAGUUGGUGAGGUAACGGCGCACCAAGGCCACGAUGCAUAGCCGACCUGAGAGGGUGAUCGGCCACACUGGGACUGAGACACGGUCCAGACUCCUACGGGAGGCAGCAGUGGGGAAUAUUGGACAAUGGGCGAAAGCCUGAUCCAGCCAUGCCGCGUGUGUGAAGAAGGUCUUCGGAUUGUAAAGCACUUUAAGUUGGGAGGCGUUACCAACAGAAUAAGCACCGGCUAACUUCGUGCCAGCAGCCGCGGUAAUUC
rnacentral:rRNA from 1 species